CCUACGGGAGGCAGCAGUGGGGAAUCUUGCGCAAUGGGCGAAAGCCUGACGCAGCCAUGCCGCGUGUAUGAUGAAGGUCUUAGGAUUGUAAAAUACUUUCACCGGUGAAGAUAAUGACUGUAGCCGGAGAAGAAGCCCCGGCUAACUUCGUGCCAGCAGCCGCGGUAAUACGAAGGGGGCUAGCGUUGCUCGGAAUUACUGGGCGUAAAGGGAGCGUAGGCGGACAUUUAAGUCAGAGGUGAAAUCCCGGAGCUUAACUUCGGAACUGCCUUUGAUACUGGGUGUCUUGAGUGUGAGAGAGGUAUGUGGAACUCCGAGUGUAGAGGUGAAAUUCGUAGAUAUUCGGAAGAACACCAGUGGCGAAGGCGACAUACUGGCUCAUUACUGACGCUGAGGCUCGAAAGCGUGGGGAGCAAACAGGAUUAGAUACCCUGGUAGUCCACGCCGUAAACGAUGAUUGCUAGUUGUCGGGAAGCUUGCUUCUCGGUGACGCAGCUAACGCAUUAAGCAAUCCGCCUGGGGAGCACGGUCGCAAGAUUAAAACUCAAAGGAAUUGACGG
rnacentral:rRNA from 1 species